rnacentral:rRNA from 1 species
AGAGUUUGAUGGUGGCUCAGGAUGAACGCUGGCGGCGUGCCUAACACAUGCAAGUCGAACGAAGCAUUUUAGAUGAAGUUUUCGGAUGGAUUCUGAGAUGACUGAGUGGCGGACGGGUGAGUAACACGUGGAUAACCUGCCUCACACUGGGGGACAACAGUUAGAAAUGACUGCUAAUACCGCAUAAGCGCACAGUACCGCAUGGUACAGUGUGAAAAACUCCGGUGGUGUGAGAUGGAUCCGCGUCUGAUUAGCCAGUUGGCGGGGUAACGGCCCACCAAAGCGACGAUCAGUAGCCGACCUGAGAGGGUGACCGGCCACAUUGGGACUGAGACACGGCCCAAACUCCUACGGGAGGCAGCAGUGGGGAAUAUUGCACAAUGGGCGAAAGCCUGAUGCAGCGACGCCGCGUGAGUGAAGAAGUAUUUCGGUAUGUAAAGCUCUAUCAGCAGGGAAGAUAAUGACGGUACCUGACUAAGAAGCCCCGGCUAACUACGUGCUAGCAGCCGCGGUAAUACGUAGGGGGCAAGCGUUAUCCGGAUUUACUGGGUGUAAAGGGAGCGUAGACGGCAUGGCAAGUCUGAAGUGAAAACCCAGGGCUCAACCCUGGGACUGCUUUGGAAACUGUCAAGCUAGAGUGCAGGAGAGGUAAGUGGAAUUCCUAGUGUAGCGGUGAAAUGCGUAGAUAUUAGGAGGAACACCAGUGGCGAAGGCGGCUUACUGGACUGUAACUGACGUUGAGGCUCGAAAGCGUGGGGAGCAAACAGGAUUAGAUACCCUGGUAGUCCACGCCGUAAACGAUGAGUGCUAGGUGUUGGGGGGCAAAGCCCUUCGGUGCCGUCGCAAACGCAAUAAGCACUCCACCUGGGGAGUACGUCGCAA